GUCCACGCCGUAAACGAUGAGUGCUAAGUGUUGGAGGGUUUCCGCCCUUCAGUGCUGCAGCUAACGCAUUAAGCACUCCGCCUGGGGAGUACGACCGCAAGGUUGAAACUCAAAAGGAAUUGACGGGGACCCGCACAAGCGGUGGAGCAUGUGGUUUAAUUCGAAGCAACGCGAAGAACCUUACCAGGUCUUGACAUCCUUUGACAAUCCUAGAGAUAGGACUUUCCCUUCGGGGACAAAGUGACAGGUGGUGCAUGGUUGUCGU
rnacentral:rRNA from 1 species